rnacentral:rRNA from 1 species
UACAGAGGGGGCUAGCGUUGUUCGGAAUUACUGGGCGUAAAGGGCUCGUAGGCGGCCAACUAAGUCGGACGUGAAAUCCCCAGGCUCAACCUGGGAACUGCGUCCGAUACUGGAUGGCUUGAAUCCGGGAGAGGGAUGCAGAAUUCCAGGUGUAGCGGUGAAAUGCGUAGAUAUCUGGAGGAAUACCGGUGGCGAAGGCGGCAUCCUGGACCGGCAUUGACGCUGAGGAGCGAAAGCCAGGGGAGCAAACGGG